UUAUACACUGUGGAUAUUGAUUCCUUAUCAGAGCUAUGAUUUGAAAAUAUUUUCUCCCAUUCUAUAGGUUGCUUUUUUCACUCUGUUGAUUAUACUCUUUGACACACCCAUGGAGAAGAUUUUAAAGGGCAGGUAGAAGUCAGACAGUUUGAGCAGCAGCGUAGUGAAGAGAAGGCCUUUCAAUCGAAGGAAAUAGUCUGUGCAAACACACAGAGGAGAGAACCGCAACAUGCAGGGACAGGGCUUCACCGUGUUGAAUCCUGACCAGACUGUCAGGCUCGUCUCAAACUCCUGGUCUCAAGCCAUCCACCCGCCUCAGCUUCCCAAAG
rnacentral:lncRNA from 1 species